rnacentral:rRNA from 1 species
UACCCUACGGGGGGCAGCAGUGAGGAAUAUUGGUCAAUGGGCGGAAGCCUGAACCAGCCAAGUCGCGUGAGGGAAUAAGGCCCUACGGGUCGUAAACCUCUUUUGCCGGGGAGCAAGGGCGGGGACGUGUCCCGGCCCGGAGAGUACCCGGAGAAAAAGCAUCGGCUAACUCCGUGCCAGCAGCCGCGGUAAUACGGAGGAUGCGAGCGUUAUCCGGAUUUAUUGGGUUUAAAGGGUGCGUAGGCGGAUCGUUAAGUCAGUGGUCAAAUUGAGGGGCUCAACCCCUUCCCGCCAUUGAAACUGGG